rnacentral:lncRNA from 13 species
GCUUCAGUUAUAAUGUAACAAUAAGGAGUAGAGGGGGUUGGUGCUUCAGUUAUAAUGUAACAAUAAGGAGUAGAGGGGGUUGGUGCUUCAGUUAUAAUGUAACAAUAAGGAGUAGAGGGGGUUGGUGCUUCAGUUAUAAUGUAACAAUAAGAAGUAGAGGGGGUUGGUGCUUCAGUUGUAUUGUAACAAGGCAAUACAGCUAGAAGUGCCUGGUUCUCAUCCAGUAAGGAGUCAGGUUCACCGUGUCAAUCAUGUCUAAGUGUCUGGCCUUUACUGUCAUUCAGCCAAACUGACCAGGUCGUAUCAAGGCUCUGUGGUUGAUAAGACUGACCGGCUGAUAAGACUGACUAGCUUGUAUCUGUGGGUAGGUAGGUGGUGGGUCUGUAGGUGGGUCUUCAGGUGGGUCUGUGGAUGGUGGUUCUGUAGGUGGGUCNNNNNNNNNNNNNNNNNNNNNNNNNNNNNNNNNNNNNNNNNNNNNNNNNNNNNNNNNNNNNNNNNNNNNNNNNNNNNNNNNGACAGACAGACAGACCAUCGUUAUGGGAGCCAGACAGACAGACCAUCGUUAUGGGAGCCAGACAGACCAUCGUUAUGGGAGCCAGACAGACAGCCAGACAGACCAUCGUUAUGGGAGCCAGACAGACAGACCAUCGUUAUGGGAGACAGACAGACAGACAUGGGAUACAUCCCAAAUGGCAACAUAUUCCAUAUUUAGUGCACUACUUUGUGUACUGGAUAGGGAAUAGGGUGCUAUUUGGGACAGUCACAUUCCCCUCUCAGCAGAGCUUGUCCUCCAGCCAAACGGAGUGCAGUCCGGUGUUGGCCAGUUGGCUUGGGUCAUAUUCAGUAGUGUACAAAGUAGAAAAGCUGUUUGCAACGGAAAACAAGAGUUCCGUAGUUACAGUCCCAUCGCUGAAACUUCCCUACGGACUCGGGAGAGGCAAAGGUCAAGGGCCAUGCGUCCUCCUGAAACACGACCCUCCCAAGCCGCACUGCUUGCUUAACCCAAAAGCCAUCCGCACCAAUGUGUCGGAGGAAACACCGUCCAGCUGGUGACUGAAGUCAGCUUCCUGGCCUGUCACAAGGAGUCGUUAUAUCGCGAUAGGACCUGCCGGCCGGCCAAACCUUCCCCUAAUCCAAACAACGCUGAGCGAAUUGUGCGCCACCUCAUGGGUUUCCUGGUCACGGCUGGCUGUGACACAGCCUGGGAUCGAACCCGGGUCUGUAGUGAUGCCUCUGUAGUGAUGCAGUGCCUUAGACAGCUGUGCCACUCUGGAGGCCCUGAAAACAAGAGUUUCUUAUUGGACCAGUUCAGGAUAGUUCAUCCCUGUUUCGGGUAUGUUUUUUUUCCGUUAGUUUCUAUUGAAUACGAACGACCCAGGACUAUGGCUCUGGGAGGCUGUUCUGAUAGGUGGAUAGACCAGACCUCAGGGUCAAAUUAAAGCACAUUGAAUUAGCCAUGCCUAUUAUUCACAGGUCAUUACUGUAGUCCACUGUACUCCCUGGUCUGGUCUGGUCCAAGGACUCUGCACAGUAAAUUAGAUUCCAAUUUUUGCUUUUAACUGUUUUCUCUCUUUUUUGACAUUUCAAUGAUAACCAUCACUGUUAAACAAAACAGCUGUUGUUGUUGUUGUGGUGGAGUAGUGUGGUAGAAAUGUUUAGCUGAGCUUCUCUGAUACUCAGCGUCGCGCCAUGAUGAUGUCACACCGUGACGUCACAGAGGCAGGAGGCCUGAUCAUUGGUCCCCCUCAAUCAAUGUCCUAAUGUUACUUGAAAUGGAGGCAGCCCAUUGGUCAGGAGGAGCGUUGCUAUCGGCUUCAUCAGCCCUUCGAUCCUUCCUCCGUGUCCGUGAUGAUAACCGUUAAACAUGUUGUGUCUCGGAUUCAUCCGUUUAUUCUCAUCCGGUAAUCCGCUCAGAAGACAUCCAGUAACUGAAGAGUUGCCAGACUACUGGUACACAUGGUUUAAACGACAAUAAUGUUCACAGUUCACCACUACAUGACGUUGGUGUGCUGUUAGUUAAGGAGUAGAGGGGGUUGGUGCUUCAGUUAUAAUGUAACAAUAAGGAGUAGAGGGGGUUGGUGCUUCAGUUAUAAUGUAACAAUAAGGAGUAGAGGGGGUUGGUGCUUCAGUUAUAAUGUAACAAUAAGGAGUAGAGGGGGUUGGUGCUUCAGUUAUAAUGUAACAAUAAGAAGUAGAGGGGGUUGGUGCUUCAGUUGUAUUGUAACAAGGCAAUACAGCUAGAAGUGCCUGGUUCUCAUCCAGUAAGGAGUCAGGUUCACCGUGUCAAUCAUGUCUAAGUGUCUGGCCUUUACUGUCAUUCAGCCAAACUGACCAGGUCGUAUCAAGGCUCUGUGGUUGAUAAGACUGACCGGCUGAUAAGACUGACUAGCUUGUAUCUGUGGGUAGGUAGGUGGUGGGUCUGUAGGUGGGUCUUCAGGUGGGUCUGUGGAUGGUGGUUCUGUAGGUGGGUC